rnacentral:tRNA from 1 species
GCGAAAGUGGCGGAACUGGUAGACGCACUAGAUUCAGGUUCUAGCGGGCGCAAGCCCAUGGGGGUUCAAGUCCCUCCUUUCGCA